GGGGGUCAAAAUUGUUUUUUUUGGGGGGGCUGUUUUGGCACCCCCUUCCAGGAAGGCCCCUUCUUUUUGGGGGGCCCCUCCCAAGCCCCCCCCCCCCCCCCCCACGGCAGCUGGCAGGUGGGGCAGAGAAGGCUUCUGGGCCUCUCAUGGCUGAUGGAUGGAGCCGCCCUCGUUCCCAUGCAGGCCCGUAUUCCGUCGCUGUCUGGCUCGCCGGCCGUGUUCUACUUUACAGCCGAAGACGCGGCCCUGGCUUGCUAAUUUCACAGACCAGCAAUUAAUUGACCUGCUGUUUUAUUUAUUAAAUUGUUAAUGGCUUUUUCUUCCCCAGCCAUCUGGGUCACUGGGAAGAUAUUUUUCCCCUGAGUUCACAGCUUCAGUCUACGCGGGAGCGCGUUAUUUCCAGCUCAGAAGAGCGUGGGAUGAGCCAUUUAGAUCUGGGAGCAACCUUAGAGGUCGGCGAGGCCAACCACCUCAUUUUACAGAUGAGAAGACUGAGCCGGGGAGGGGAAGAGCUCAUCUGGCCCUGCCCCCCCCCCAUCCCCCUCCCACCCCUGUGGCCAGAUGAGGCUGUCUCGUGGCUACAUCCUCGUGGGUUUGGAAACCUGGAAGGGCUCCAAAACCUGUCAAAACUUUUAUUUAAAAGCCAAAUUUAAAGCAGGAUCUGGUUAAAGGUCUAAUGAAGAGGACUUCAUGGAGGUGGAAAACUUUCCCCUUAAGCUGACUAUAUUAAAACUCCAUUCUAAGCUCAAAGCCACCAAACGAAUCACAAUGGAAAAGUAUAAAAGAGAACAUCACAGCAAGUCCUGAAUCCGGGGAGGAUCCUGUUAACAUCAUACUGUUAAAGGUUUAGAGCUGGAAGAAACUUUAGAAGGCAUUGACUUCAGCCUUCUCAUUUUUUCAGAUGGGGAAACUGAGGCCCAGGGAGGCAAAGGGUCCUGCCCAAAGUAGCCUACUUAGUAAGAGUCAGUUACUUAACACCCAGAUCCUCGCCCUCCAGAUCUAGGACUCUUUGCCGUUCCACAUAAUAUCAAGCCCUGGCCAUGGGCUCUCAGUAUAGAGUUUCUGACUUUCCAGACCAGACCCUUUCUGACAUGUGGAAAAUGGAAUUGUAGGGGGAAAAACUAGCCAAACCUGUGUGUCCUCCUUUGAGGAUGGCUCUGGGAAAAUCUGUGUCUCCCAAGUUUUCUUGAGGCUCUUCCCUGCGUAGAACUGGUUCUCUCUGUGCCAGCCUGCUUGCUCAGGACAGCAUCCAGAGAGCCCUUGUGGGUCCCUGGGACAUGCAAGCUGGCUGCCUAAUGCCCUGAAUUCACAAGCACGACGGCUGAAAGGGAGGGGCCCAUUAAAAAGUAAUAGGAAGCAGCCUGACGGAUCUGUUUCUGGGAACAUUAGUGUCACGGUGAUGGAUUAGUCAAAUCUCCAAAGCGGAAAGGCGGGUUUCUGAAAAAUAUUUUGCAUAAGCAUAAAUAUAUUCACAAAUGUUAUUUAUUUUUUUAAGGCUUUGCCAUGCAUAUUUCAGCAACCCCAUUAUCCUCAGCAUGGAGCUCCGCCAGAUGACUAUGGAAGGGCUAGAGGUGUCCUGCAUGUUUCUGUGUCCUGGGUUAUGAGAUAGCACACCAUUUAUGGAGGGAGAAAAGGUCCCCUAAACUGACCCAA
ensembl:lncRNA